rnacentral:rRNA from 1 species
GGCUGUGAAGCGGAGCAAAUCUCAAAAACCGGUCCCAGUUCGGAUUGUAGGCUGCAACUCGCCUACAUGAAGUCGGAGUUGCUAGUAAUCGCGGAUCAGAAUGCCGCGGUGAAUGCGUUCCCGGGUCUUGUACACACCGCCCGUCACACCAUGGAAGUUGGGGGCGCCCGAAGUUGCCUAAGAAAUAAGGUACCUAAGGCGAAACCAAUGACUGGGGUGAAGUCGUAACAAGGUAAC